rnacentral:rRNA from 1 species
AACGAACGCUGGCGGCGUGCCUAACACAUGCAAGUCGAACGUGAUUAGAGGGCUUGCUCUCUAUGAAAGUGGCGCACGGGUGAGUAACGCGUAGAUAAUCUACCUGAUGAUUCGGGAUAACACUUCGAAAGGGGUGCUAAUACCGGAUAAGCCCACGGAGUCCUUGGACACUGCGGGAAAAGGGGGGGACCUUAUGGCCUUCCGUCAUCAGAUGAGUCUGCGUACCAUUAGCUAGUUGGUAGGGUAAAGGCCUACCAAGGCGACGAUGGUUAGCUGGUCUGAGAGGAUGAUCAGCCACACUGGAACUGAGACACGGUCCAGACUCCUACGGGAGGCAGCAGUGGGGAAUUUUGCGCAAUGGGGGAAACCCUGACGCAGCAACGCCGCGUGAGUGAUGAAGGCUCUUGGGUCGUAAAGCUCUGACAGAGGGAAAGAAGUGUAUGGUGGUUAAUACCCAUUGUACUUGACGGUACCCUCAAAGGAAGCACCGGCUAACUCCGUGCCAGCAGCAGCCGCGGUAA